rnacentral:sRNA from 1 species
UUUUCCUUUCGGUUGCCCCCUUGUGCGCUUGUGUUUUAGCCAUAUAGCUUGGAUUGAGGGUCUCCUUUGUUUUUGACCCGUGGCAUGAUGGUGGCUUGGGAGACGUGGCCCCUUUGUGGGCGCUAUUUCCCCAUUGACAAAGAAAGGCAGAUAAAGUAUGUACGAGUGUAUCUAGACUAGUACGUGUUAUCGGUAAAACACUGAAGUGGGCCUGUCCAUUAUGAAAUUCGACACAGGAACAUCUAAUAUUGUACAAAACGUGGAAAGAUUGUAUCGGAAAUGAGAAUUAAGAUCAGCUUGUGUGCAGUAAAUCAUUGGCUUUACAUUAGUCUUAAAUAAAAAAUGAAAAACAUUAGGCAACUUAGAAAAUUCCAGGUUUCCAUAAAA